AAGCCAGAGAUCCCAGAACCAGCCGUUGUCCCCUGGCAAAAGAGGCCCAGUGCUGAGCCUUGGGCAAAUGUCUGCAGACAUGCUGUCCCCCCUCCCUUAUUAGUUUCCCUUACCAAGAGAAACCAUUUCCUUUUGCCACCAAAAACUAGGUUGCAUCCAAAAGUUUCUCACAAGCUUAAAAAAACGAAAAAUUGACAGCCAUUACACAGAAGAGCCCACAAAAGCUGCAGCAGCACCAGGGAUGAAGAAGCAGCGACAGACCCAGGUCUGCAGGACACAUCGAAGAACUGUCCUAUCAUGCAAGGGAGAGACUGAAACGCUCACUGGCCUCCAUCAGGAAAGCUAAAAAUCUCUCCUCCUUUCCUGCAAAUUUUCCAAACCCCAUGACUCUGAUUUUCAGGAACCAGAGGAGAGGAACAGCUUUUUAAGAGUCAGACCCUGAAAACAUUUCCAAGCAGCCUGGACAAAGGCUUGGAGUGACUACAAUAGUGAACCAUCCUGCCUUGGACCCCAAUCUAGAUUGAUGACCUAAUACAUCUUUUCCAACUCUGACUGCCAUAGUUUUAUGAGCAUCAAGAACUGGGUGCCUGCCACUGUCAACAAUUAGAGCUUCUCCAGAACUUAUACAUCCACAGAAACUCAAGUAUCCCCCACAGCACAGAUCGUGCAGUCUCCUAGGGCUCACGGUGCUUCUUCUAGCUUCACCACAUGUGAAAUGGAAACUCCUCUUUGGCAGGAUCUUUCUUAAAGAAAAGGAAGUGUACCCGUUACUUUCCCAUGUUAUCUUGGCUUUAGAACAGAGCGAUCCCUGAGAAGCUAAUGAAGCUUAACUUAAGCGUCCUCCUUCUCAGGGGCCCCUUCCAAAGCCCUAUACCUACUUUGGUGCUGUAAGUUUGCAUUAUUUUUUUUAAAGGAGUCCGAUUCAUUGUAUAAGCUAUAGACCUCCCCACAUCCCAUCUCCCAGGGGGAGCUGCUCCUCACCUAGAGAACUGGCACCAAAUCUUAGCUUGAUAAAAGUAUAAAAAUUAAACUCUAACUCCUCUUUAUCUUUUAUGGACACUGCCUACCCCUGGCAAUUCCCCAUUCAGGAUGAACUUCUUAGUUGGAGUUUCUGGUCCUCAGAUAUCUUCUGCACUACAGUGCUGAUUCAAAACCUAGCCGCAAUUUAAGUUUAUUCUCCCUAGCUUCUUCCUGAUACUCCACUGUGGGCUAAUUAUUACAAUGACUAAAGGCCGGAAGAGUUCCCACAUGUGGUCCUCCUUUUGGUUAAGUGGCAUCACUGUUCCAGUGCCAGCUAAGCUUUGUUUUCCAGUAGAGUUAAUGGAUUUGGACUAGGCUUCUCCACUUUCCUAACAGGGCUCUCAGGGGACUGAGCCACAGAAACAUUUAUUUUUUCUGAUUACAAAAGUAAUGGCAUAUAAAUGUUCAUAUAUACAUAUAAAACUUGAAACAUUAUAAUAAUAUAUAGCAGAGAAAGUGAAAAUCUUCCAUAAUCCCACACAGCUGAGAAAACCAGUUAACAUUUUUUUCAAGGCAUAUAUUAAAAUUUCAUUUAUUAUUUUAUAAAAAUGGGAUCAUACUCUCCACUCUUAAGCAUGCUAUUUUCCACCUAGGAAUAUGUCUUAGAUAUAUUUCCACACCAGUCUUUAAAAAGUGAUCUUCUUUUUCACCUUUCUUUUUUUUUAAUUGCUCCAUGGUAUUGUACUGUACGCCCAAACCAUGCUUUUCUUAACCAACUGCUGUUAAUGUAUAUUUGGGUUCUUUCCAGUUUUCCCUGUAACAAAUAUUCUUGCAAACAUCAUUUUACACUUAUAUCUUUAAGCAGUUGUAGGAGUAUUUCUCUAUGAUGAAUUCCCAGAAGGUGAAUUAUUAUUGGGUCAGAGGGUAUGAGCAUUUCAUUUUUAAUAGCUAUUGCCAAAUUGCCCUCCAAUAAUUUUAUACCGAUUUACACCCCCAACCCCACUGUAAGAAGGAGUCUGUUUCUCCACCCUCCUUAGCAACACUAAAAUCAUGCAAUUUGGGGACGUCUGAUGUGAGUUAGGAGUUAAGAGGUUCAGCCUGUGGAGUUUUUUUCCCUUUGUGAACAGCUAACAAAGAGAUCAAAAGUCUCCCCCUUUCCUUGAUGAACCCCCUGCUCUGAGUGAGCCAAUACCCAGACAGACAUCUAGCUAAUGUGAGACGCGAAAAUUCUAACACCUACUGCUCGUGUCUAGCUGAAUUUAUUAGAGACAAUUUGUCCGCGAAUGUAUAAGCAAAUGUGUUAGUUAUAGAAUACUUAAUAACUUAACCACUCAAGAAAUAGAAAUUGAUCCUGACGUUAGCACUGCUGUUUCGAUGUAAACAACACAUUUAAUUUUAUGGCAUGAGAAUGUUUACAUCUGUACAAUUCUUUUUCAUCCCUACAUUUACUGGAGCAAACUAAUUUGAAAAAUCUAUUCUUUAAAGGUAUGUGAAAAGUGACUUUGUGUCAGCCCAUUAAUGAAGAGCAAGGUUUGCCAACAACCAGUCUUCAGGAGCUCAUUUUGAGGAUUACUAUGGUUUAUAUUUCCAGAAUUAGGAUGACUGGCCAUUAAACUG